CCUACGGGAGGCAGCAGUGGGGAAUAUUGGACAAUGGGGGAAACACUGAUGCAGCAAAGCCGCGUGAGUGAAGAAGUAUUUCGGUAUGUAAAGCCUUAUCAGCCGGGAAGAAGAUGACGGUACCUGAGUAAGAAGCCACGGAUAAGUACGUGCCAGCAGCCGCGGUAAGACGUAGGGGGCAGGCGUGAUCCGGAUUUACUGGGUGUAAAGGGAGCGUAGACGGGGAGACAAGUCUGAAGUGAAAGCCCGGGGCUCAACCCCGGGACUGCGUUGGAAACUGCCUGACUGGAGUGCUAGAGAGGCAAGCGGAAUUCCUGGUGUAGCGGUGAAAUGCGUAGAUAUUAGGAAGAACACCAGUGGCGAAGGCGGCUUGCUGGACAGUAACUGACGUUGAGGCUCGAAAGCGUGGGGAGCAAACAGGAUUAGAUACCCUUGUAGUC
rnacentral:rRNA from 1 species